rnacentral:rRNA from 1 species
AUACGGAGGACGCGAGCGUUAUCCGGAUUUAUUGGGUUUAAAGGGUGCGCAGGCGGGAGAUUAAGUCGGCGGUGAAAUUUUGCAGCUCAACUGUAAAAGGGCCUUCGAAACUGGUUUCCUUGAGUGUAGAUGAAGUAGGCGGAAUUUGUGGUGUAGCGGUGAAAUGCAUAGAUAUCACGAGGAACUCCGAUUGCGCAGGCAGCUUACUAAACUACUACUGACGCUCAGGCACGAAGGCGUGGGGAUCAAACAGGAUUAGAUACCCUGGUAGUCCACGCAGUAAACGAUGAUUACUAGCUGUUUGCGAUACAAUCUAAGCGGCUGAGCGAAAGCGUUAAGUAAUCCUCCUGGGGAGUACGUUCGCAAGAAUGAAACUCAAAGGAAUUGACGGGG